UAUAGAAUAAUGGAAAAAAGAGAAAUUUACUCUUUAGUAUGGUGCCAAAGAAGAGAUAUGCCUGGCAUAUAUUUGGCGCAGAGUUUUUUUCUAUUAUGUUUUCUCGCCUAUGUUGUUAGUUUUCACUAUAUAUAGGUGCGUUGCUGGUCCCAGGAAUCUUGUCAAAUACUGAAGGUGGAAGGCAUGGGACCAAUUUAAAGA